AAUUUUUCAACAAUAUUUUGUCUGUCAAGUUAAGAAAAUACGGUUACAGUUUGCAGUCAGCCGAAAGCUCUUGGGUUCUGGAUUCUGGAGCGAGUCAUCAUGUCACUAACCCUCACAAUCUAAUGAGGGAAUAUCCAUGGGUGACGGUAUUGUAUACUCCGAAGCCGCUGGUAUAAGGCCGGAAUAAGAAUGGACUCUAUGAGUGGACACAACAUCCACCCAGACCACUAAUAUCCAUCAAUCUUGCAUCCACAAAAGCUCCUUUCUAGCUAUGGCAUUGUUGCUUGGGUCAUCCUCAUUCGACGAUUUUAAAUUUUAUUUUGAAGAAGUUUUCUUUACCUGUUGCUACUAAAGAAAAAAUUGAAGUUUUGUAAUGCUUGUUCUCUAAUAAAGCACAUCGUUUUCCAUUUCAAUGACACACA